rnacentral:rRNA from 1 species
UACGUAGGGUGCAAGCGUUUGUCCGGAAUUAUUGGGCGUAAAGAGCUCGUAGGCGGUUUGUUGCGUCGGCUGUGAAAUCCCGAGGCUCAACCUCGGGUCUGCAGUCGAUACGAGCAAACUAGAGUGUUGCAGGGGAGACUGGAAGUUCCUGGUGUAGCGGUGAAAUGCGCAGAUAUCAGGAGGAACACCGGUGGCGAAGGCGGGUCUCUGGGCAACACUGACGC